rfam:Coccomyxa sp. C-169 plastid, complete genome.
GGGCAUGUAGCUCAGUGGACUAGAGCACGCGUCUCCGAAGCGCGGGGUCGAGGGUUCAAUUCUCUCCUUGCCCU